GCGAUCAGGAUGCUCCAACGUUACGUGUCAUCGCUAACGCGUAGAGGUAGACCCACACACAGUAAGUUCGAUGUUAGGGGAUCUCGAUCCCAUCCUAGGACAGCUAAAUUAUAAUGGGCCAAGGCUGCUCCAUGGGAUUGCUGGAAGACUUCCCCUCCGAAGGACAAAGCCAUCGACUACUGUCUCAGGAAGAUCACUGAUCUGAAGGACAGUCUGAUAGCCUAGGAUGUCUACAUCGACUUCCUUAGUCGGCGCAUCAGCCCCCCUGAAGGAAAGGGUCAAUUUGACCACCUGGGACGUGGGCACCAAAGAUCCCGCUAGAGACAGCCCGAAAGCUUUAAGUGUAGGGAAGGAAGAGAAGAAAAUUUCCCGCCUCUUGGUCAAGCCUGAUGGGAACCGGAAGAUCCCACCGACCCCCAUUUUUAUCUUUGCUCGACUGCUCAGUCCGCAUACAUGAAGGAGGUUUCCAACAUCGAGAACGAUGUGGAGUUGCCUGAACCAGAGCCAUUCGUUCAGGCGGAGUCCAGCGCGCCAGCCCCCAACGCUUCCAAUGACCUCGAGCAGAGUAAUUCGAGCAGGCGGAAGUCGUCGAGUUCUCAAGCUUCGGAGGAAGAUGACUCUUUGAUCUUGGAACACUACCGCCAGAGGCAAGCCCUCCUUCCCCCCACUCACCAGGAGCAGACUCCUCUGUUGUAGAGCAAGACGGAGGUCGAGCCUGAGCCGGAAGUAUCCAAGGGAAAAACUCCAAUAAUGGAGACCUACAAGCAGAUGCUGCCAGUGCAGUCUCCUCCUCGUCAGACGGACAUCAAGCCCAUCAUUCCUAGGACCAAGAUCAAACCCAAGUCUUUCGGGCUGCCGCCGCCGCAAUCUGAAGUGCCAAAGACGCAGACUGAGGCUCCAAGACCACAAAAAGAGGCUCCUCAUGCAUAGGUGAAUGAAGGAGCUUCAUCAACUGCCGGGGGUGAGGGGCGUACAUUGACAAAAGACCAUUGUUUGCCAGCCAGGAGGACGGGCCGAUAAGCCAGGAAGAUGCAGUGGGCAAAGUGGACUCGCUAGACCUUCGCCUGGACAACAUAUUGUUAUCAUUUAAAUAAAUUUAAUGUUGAAAUUUACUUUCUUGGGCCAACCGAUGGGCACUUCUCUUUCAGCCCUUGCUAAAUCGAUGCAUGCCCACGAGCUGCUCUAUCCACGAGUGGCACUGGUCCUAGGGUUGCUAGAGGGCAUUGGGGACUACCUCAACCUAGCUUCAGGCGACUCCAGGGCGGCAGCGGCGGUGGAACGGCUGCACCUUGAUCUCCAGUGCUCGUGCACGCAUCCGUGGCAUGGCUGGGCUCAUUGCUGUCCUUUGGAUUCAGCUUGGACCGUGGGGAUUGACUCGAGCGGCACAGAGGA